rnacentral:rRNA from 1 species
AUUGAACGCUGGCGGCAGGCCUAACACAUGCAAGUCGAACGGUAACAGGGAUCAGCUUGCUGAUUCGCUGACGAGUGGCGGACGGGUGAGUAAUGUCUGGGAAACUGCCUGAUGGGGGGGGAUAACUACUGGAAACGGUAGCUAAUACCGCAUAACGUCGCAAGACCAAAGAGGGGGACCUUCGGGCCUCUUGCCAUCGGAUGUGCCCAGAUGGGAUUAGCUAGUAGGUGGGGUAACGGCUCACCUAGGCGACGAUCCCUAGCUGGUCUGAGAGGAUGACCAGCCACACUGGAACUGAGACACGGUCCAGACUCCUACGGGAGGCAGCAGUGGGGAAUAUUGCACAAUGGGCGCAAGCCUGAUGCAGCCAUGCCGCGUGUAUGAAGAAGGCCUUCGGGUUGUAAAGUACUUUCAGCGGGGAGGAAGGGAGUAAAGUUAAUACCUUUGCUCAUUGACGUUACCCGCAGAAGAAGCACCGGCUAACUCCGUG